rnacentral:rRNA from 3 species
AAACCAACAGGGAUUGCCUUAGUAGCGGCGAGUGAAGCGGCAAAAGCUCAAAUUUGAAAUCUGGCGGGUUCCCCGUCCGAGUUGUAAUUUGAAGAAGGAUACUUUGGUACUGGCUCUUGUCUAUGUUCCUUGGAACAGGACGUCACAGAGGGUGAGAAUCCCGUGCGAUGAGAUGCCCAGUUCCGUGUAAAGUUCCUUCGAAGAGUCGAGUUGUUUGGGAAUGCAGCUCUAAGUGGGUGGUAAAUUCCAUCUAAAGCUAAAUAUUGGCGAGAGACCGAUAGCGAACAAGUACAGUGAUGGAAAGAUGAAAAGAACUUUGAAAAGAGAGUGAAAAAGUACGUGAAAUUGUUGAAAGGGAAGGGCUUGAGAUCAGACUUGGUAUUUGGAAUGAAACUCUUUCGAGAGUCUCCGCUUCUGCUUACCGGGCCAGCAUCGGUUUGGGGAGAAGGAUAACCGCAAAGGAACGUGGCACCACUCGUGGUGUGUUAUAGCCUUUGUCUAUACUUCUUCCCCAGUCCGAGGUCUGCGAUUCGUCUAGGAUGCUGGCAUAAUGAUCUUAAGUCGC